rnacentral:rRNA from 1 species
AUGGAUGGACCUGCGGUGCAUUAGCUAGUUGGUGGGGUAACGGCCCACCAAGGCGACGAUGCAUAGCCGGCCUGAGAGGGCGGACGGCCACAUUGGGACUGAGACACGGCCCAAACUCCUACGGGAGGCAGCAGUAGGGAAUUUUCGUCAAUGGGGGGAACCCUGAACGAGCAAUGCCGCGUGAGUGAGGAAGGUCUUCGGAUCGUAAAGCUCUGUUGUAAGAGAAAAACGACAUUCAUAGGGAAUGAUGAGUGAGUGAUGGUAUCUUACCAGAAAGUCACGGCUAACUACGUGCCAGCAGCCGCGGUAAUACGUAGGUGGCGAGCGUUAUCCGGAAUGAUUGGGCGUAAAGGGUGCGUAGGUGGCAGAACAAGUCUGGAGUAAAAGGUAUGGGCUCAACCCGUACUGGCUCUGGAAACUGUUCAGCUAGAGAACAGAAGAGGACGGCGGAACUCCAUGUGUAGCGGUAAAAUGCGUAGAUAUAUGGAAGAACACCGGUGGCGAAGGCGGCCGUCUGGUCUGUUGCUGACACUGAAGCACGAAAGCGUGGGGAGCAAAUAGGAUUAGAUACCCUAGUAGUCCACGCCGUAAACGAUGAGAACUAGGUGUUGGGGGAAUAACUCAGUGCCGCAGUUAAC